UCUCUUCAAGCCGUCGAAAGCUCCCAUUUUUCGAUGUCAUCCUCAGCUUCUUCAUGGAUUUCGACGAACAACCCAAUGUGCACUUGUGGGAAGCUCGCAAAACUUAGAACAUCGAAUACGCCAAAAAAUCCGGGCCGAUCAUUUUUUGGAUGUCCAAACUACAAUACAGAGGGAUUACCACACUGCAACUAUUUCAAAUGGGCAAAUUACAGUGAGAAAAGAGAAACAAAACUCUUCAAGAUAGACGAUGAGUUGUUAAGAAAUGAGGAAGAGCUUCGAAGAAGAGAUGAAGAGAUUGUAAAGUAUAAGUUGGGAAUUCACAAUGACCAACUUGAUAUUCAAAGACAACAAGCAGACAUCCGGCGUGAACGCACACUACUUCGUGUCUGUUG